UGGACUUGGACCCUGCCGUGUCACAAUGGCUGGUCUGAAAUGCAUGAGUGCACCCUGCCAUAGCAGCGUCUUCAGUGUGAUAAGUAUCUUCACUGAUCCAAGUUUCCUCUGUGGAACACGCUUGUCUGGUGGGCUCUGGGCUUCUAACCGUCCCCAUGGACAACUCUUGACAAUUUGACCUCAAAUCGGGUGGGAUUACCCGCUGAACUUAAGCAUAUCAAUAAGCGGAGGAAAAGAAACUAACAAGGAUUCCCCUAGUAACGGCGAGUGAAGAGGGAAAAGCUCAAAUUUUGAAUCUGGUACCUUUGGUGCCCGAGUUGUAAUCUAGAGAAGUGUUUUCUGCCUUGGACCACGCAUAAAUUCCCUGGAAUGGGGUGUCAUAGAGGGUGAGAAUCCCGUUUGUGGUGUGGACUACCUCGGCUUUGUGAUACACUCUCAACGAGUCGAGUUGUUUGGGAAUGCAGCUCAAAAUGGGUGGUAAAUUCCAUCUAAAGCUAAAUAUUGGCGAGAGACCGAUAGCGAACAAGUACCGUGAGGGAAAGAUGAAAAGCACUUUGGAAAGAGAGUGAAACAGUACGUGAAAUUGUUGAAAGGGAAGCGCUUGAGGUCAGUCACAUCUGUCAGGACUCAGCCAGGCUUCUGCCUGGUGUACUUCCUGGCCGGUGGGUCAGCGUCAGUUUUGACCGAGGGAAAAAGGCUUGGGGAAUGUGGCUGUCUUCGGGCAGUGUUAUAGCCCCUUGUUGUAUGUCUCGGUU
rnacentral:rRNA from 1 species